rnacentral:rRNA from 1 species
GAACGCUGGCGGCGUGCUUAACACAUGCAAGUCGAACGGAAAGGCCUCAGCUUGCUGGGGUACUCGAGUGGCGAACGGGUGAGUAACACGUGGGUGAUCUGCCCUGCACUUUGGGAUAAGCUUGGGAAACUGGGUCUAAUACCGAAUAUGACCACUUCUUGGAUGUUGUGGUGGAAAGCUUUUGCGGUGUGGGAUGAGCCUGCGGCCUAUCAGCUUGUUGGUGGGGUAAUGGCCUACCAAGGCGGCGACGGGUAUCCGGCCUGAGAGGGUGUACGGACACAUUGGGACUGAGAUACGGCCCAGACUCCUACGGGAGGCAGCAGUGGGGAAUAUUGCACAAUGGGCGCAAGCCUGAUGCAGCGACGCCGCGUGGGGGAUGAAGGCCUUCGGGUUGUAAACUCCUUUCGCUAUCGACGAAGCCUUCGGGUGACGGUAGGUAGAUAAGAAGCACCGGCUAACUACGUGCCAGCAGCCGCGGUAAUACGUAGGGUGCAAGCGUUGUCCGGAAUUACUGGGCGUAAAGAGCUCGUAGGUGGUUUGUCGCGUCGUCUGUGAAAUCCCGGGGCUUAACUUCGGGCGUGCAGGCGAUACGGGCAUAACUUGAGUGCUGUAGGGGAGACUGGAAUUCCUGGUGUAGCGGUGAAAUGCGCAGAUAUCAGGAGGAACACCGAUGGCGAAGGCAGGUCUCUGGGCAGUAACUGACGCUGAGGAGCGAAAGCAUGGGUAGCGAACAGGAUUAGAUACCCUGGUAGUCCAUGCCGUAAACGGUGGGCGCUAGGUGUAGGGGGCUUCCACGUCUUCUGUGCCGUAGCUAACGCAUUAAGCGCCCCGCCUGGGGAGUACGGCCGCAAGGCUAAAACUCAAAGGAAUUGACGGGGGCCCGCACAAGCGGCGGAGCAUGUGGAUUAAUU